CUGGAAUAAGUGGUUCAUUGCGGGUGGGGCUAUGGGGUAUAUAUUUUGUUUCUGGAGCAUGGAGACCUCUCUGCUUUCUGAUCAUCAUGUGAGCUGCUUUCCUCUCCCACACUCUUCCACCAGGAUGUCCUGCCUUACCUUGAGCCCAGAGGAAUGGAGCUCACAUUCAAUGGACUAAGACCUCUGAAGCCGUACAAUUCUGCCAUGAUGAUUUUGCCUUACAGGGUGCAGGCCUCCAGCGACAACUUCCAGAGGCCAGAGAAGUGAGGUAAACCGUGAAACAGGUGAGUGAGGACAGAGGUCAAAAAGGAGAGGACAUGCCACUUUUUCUUUUGUUUUUGUUGCUUUUAUUUGAUUUUGUGUAGUGGGUUUUAAAUAUUUACUUUAUAAUUUUUAAAAAAUUUCUUGUAGGCGCGGGGGUUGAACCCAGGGCCUUGCACAUGCUGGGCAAGUAUACUACCAUUAAGCUACAUUCUUAGCCCUUUUUGUUUUAUUUUGACAGGGUCUCAUCAAGUUGCCCAGGCUAGUCUUGAACUUGUGAUCCUCCUGCGUCAGCCUCUUGAGCUGCAGGAAUUACAAGCAUGCACACCAUGCCUGGCUUGGUAUAGUGGUUCCUAAAUGGGAAAGUUGUUAGUUCUAGCUGAAUGUUGUCCUGAGGAAAGACAGGAUAAGUGUUGACAGUUCCUUUUUUUUUUUUUUUUUAAGGGAAGUUUAAAGUGUGGCUGUUCUUCUUAAAGUCUGAAUGUUGGCAAACGUUGUUACUAUGCUAUGCAGGUCUACAAAACAGCUUUGGACUGUACAUGGACAGAAGACUGCUUGUUUGCAAACUUGGUUUAGAUUUUUGGGAGCUGCACUGCAAGUGUCUGGCAAGUGAUUUCCAUUUUAUCAUCUUGUCAAGUCCUUCUACUGAAGAGAGAACCUGCAAUAGAGUCACAAUUUGAAAUAGGAGUGGGGCAGGGAGGCAGAGAAAGGGGAAGAGGUAAAUAAUGGGAAAAAGAAGUCAGUUAAUAUUUUAAAGUAUUUCAUGUGCAGCAAAUUAUAAACAGAUACUCUUUUCACUAUGGAGUGCUAACAAUUAUAACACACUUUUCUUCAAGGGGAAACUUGAAUCUUCAUAUUCUAUGCAUUUUCCCCUGAGAUAUAUUUGCAAAGCAGAAAAUUCAGACACACUAUGUCAGCCUUUCAAUGGAAUGGUUUUACCUGAAGGAAGGGGCCCCCAUCUGCCCUUCAUUCCUCCUAUGAGGUGGCUGAUCUACAUAGAGAACUACUUUUGCUUUGGGAGGACUGAAUCCAGGUCAGAGCUCGGAAAACCCACAAUAUGCUCCACAACUAAAUGUCUGAGUUAGAAGUGGUGAGUAUGUGGCAUGCAUUCUACCAACAGGCAGCUCUCUUUGCAGACAACAGACAUCACUAAUCUAUUGCAGUACUUUUUCCUACCAAAGCUAGAGGCAGCCUUGGCAUUUUUGUCAAGAAUCGAUCUCUGAUUCAGUUUUGCUAUUAUUCUUGGUCUAGAAAGUCAACUUGAAUCUAAGGAAUGCAAUUUUAAAAUAAAUACAUAUAAAUAUUAUAUGUAUGUUAAAUACUUUUAAUAUUUUCCACUUACUAGUCAUGCAAUAUAGGAACUUUAUCUUUGGACCCUUUCUCUUCAGAGGUCCUGUCCUUUUUGAAUUCUGGGCAGUAGCUGCACGGGGAGCUGCUGAAAGUUAGGGUGCCUCUGGGAUUGAGAGUUACCGGAUGUUUUUCUAUCUCUUAAUUAUCUGCAAUAUUUGCCUUCAGUGGAUAUAAUUAACUGUACCUGGACAAUAACAUUUACGUAAAAUCAUAAUGCAUCCUAUGUGUAUGUUGGGUUGCAAACAAUGUUAAAAUACUUAUUCAGUUUUAAAAAAAUGAUAUGGAAAACAUUGUUCUGCUUGCCAAUGCUUCGUCAGGUUUUUUCAUCUUGUUAGUCUUGCUAAGCGCCACUUAAAGUCUACUCAGAAUCCAGGGCAUUUAUUAUCUCUUAAUCCUUACAUUAAUUGGAUAUAGAUUUUGCAAUGUGGCUCUAUUUGCUUGCAGGUUACAUGCCUAUUCCCUUCAAUGCCAGCAGUGUCUUUAGAAUCUUCUUUUCAUCCCACACCUAAGUGGAACCCUGCCCCUGCUGAGCGCCAAUGUUCAAACCCUGCUGGUGGGAAGCCUUAGCCCCAAUUAGAAUUAACAUCUUGGUCUCCGGAACUGACAUAUGGAAGAGCUUGCCAAUAAAUGGGAGACCUGUUAUCUACCUUAGCCCCUGCUACCUCUCUUAGACCUAUAUAAACACACAGCCUUUUGUAAUAAAGCAGAAACCUCUAUGGUAAUCUGUGUCGUGUGGUGCAGCGUCUUCCAGUCUUACAGUGGUGCCAGAAACCGGGGAGACGGUGUGCUCGACAAACCGAGCCCCGCUUCUGCCACCGCCGUCACCAACGACACAUUUUGCCCUUGUCUGUCUUUUUGGGUGCGGGCUUCCUGCACUCACCACUGAUCGGGUCUAGGUAAGGUGCCCCCUCCCCGGCUCGCCAACUCCCUUCAGGUUAGCACUCUCCUGACGACCGGUAGGGAGGAGGGAAUACACCCCACUAAGACCUUCACUGGUUGAAGUGGACCCUCUGGCGACCCGCUUCCCUUUGAGGCGUGAGGCUUCUGGAUUUACAGAGAGAGGCUCCCUGGUCUCUUCCUCCUCUGCAGAGCUGCGCACCGCGGGAGCUGCACGCCCCGCCCGGCCCGCGGGCCCGGGGCUGCUCGCCCCGCGCGCCCUGCUGGCCGGGAGCCGUGCGCCUCGCCCGGCCCAGAGCUGCGCACGCCCCCGCCCAGAGGAGCCGCUGUGCCCUCUGUGCCUACUCGCAGUGGACUGGUCACUUCGGGGACGCCCAGGUGAUCCUCCAUCUGCUCUACGCUUCCAGGAAGCCUCUACUGCCCGGGUUAAUUCUUUUUCUCCCUUUUCUGUCCCUUCCUCCACUCUUUAACCACUGGUGCCUCCUCGCCUAUACCGGAAGCCUCACCACUCAAGUGUCUCCUUAAGAAUUUGGCUACUCUCUCUCUCCCCCCGGACCUCAAGCCCCAAAUUCUUAUCAGAUUCUGUACCCAAGAUUGGCCCACAUAUCAGCUAGAUAAUGACAAUCAUUGGCCUCCAGAAGGCUCCUUAGAUCCAAAUUUCCUCCAGGACCUUUUAACUAUUGCCAGCGCCUGAAAGGGUAGAAAGAGUUCCCAGGCCCCCUCCCCGUCCUGCCUUCUGCUCUCUGUUCCCAACCUUCCCCUCUGCGCACUACCUGCGCACUCCCCCCUCCUCUUCCUCCACGUCCCCUCCCUCUCCCUGUUGCAGCCGCCCCUGUGGCCCUGCCUGUGCACUUCCCCUCCUCUUCUGCGGAGACAUCCCCCUCCCCUCCCUUUUCUUCCUGGCCACCGCCACCACCGCCGCCACCGCCCAUGGCUCUGUCUGCGCGCUUCUAGUCUGCCUGGCCACCAGACACGUGCGCGGCGAGCGAAAUGGGCCGGUAGUGUGCCCUCGUCGGCUUGGAGAGGCCUCGGGAUCCCAUCUCAGCCGGCGGGUGAGCCGCUAUCCUUCACCUUCCUUGCGCCACAGCAGCUUUUGCACGAGCCCCCGACUUGCGCGCCCCUCACUUUGCCGCCUGGUUCCAACGGGCAGGCAGGAUGGGUCCCACCUGGCUGCAAUGGGUGGGAUCUCCGGAUCCCUCUGAGCCUCUCCUCCUCCCCCAACUCUGCUCACCUCUUCUACUGAUAAGCCCUUCCCCUCCCCCUACUCACGCCUCUCUUCUCCUGUCAGUGCUUCACUGAUCCCACUUAUCAGAUAACUCACAGUUCCUUUGUUCUGUCAGGGAAGUAGCUGGUGCUGAAGGCAUAGUCCAAGUGCACAUCCCAUAACUGAACCUAACUGGGACUGCGUACAAGCAGUUUCUAAUAAGGUAGUUAACUUUGAUAAACUGAAGGACAUUACCCAGAACCCUGAUGAAAAUCCAUCCUUAUUUCUCAACCGCCUUACAGAGGCCCUAACCAAAUACAUUAAGCUAGAUCUUGAGUCUCCCAUCAGGGCUACAGUGUUAGCAACCCAUUUCAUUACUCAAUCGGCUCAUGAUAUUAGAAAAAGCUCAAAUGAGCUGAGGAGGACUAUUGGACUCCUAUCUAAGAUCUGGUGAAAAUGGCUUUUAAAGCAGGCUCCAUUGCAGAAAAGAAGGUAACACCCCAAACUCAGGCCUUGACAGCAGCCCUGAGGCCUACAUCUCCAGCAAAAGUUUCAGAGGGGAACCAGCAUUCUUCUCCACCAGAGGCUUGCCUCAAAUAUGGAUGCGAAGAUUACUGGGCUCGCCAAUGCCCAAACCCACAGCCUCCUUCCAGGCCAUGCCCCACCUGUAAGCAGACAGGAUAUUGGAAGAUUGAUUGCCUCUGGCUGGCCCUUCCUUGGUGCCUCUACGCAGGGGGUAUGACCAGUCAGGCAGUCCCCUCUCCUGAACUUUCGGGGUUUGCAGAAGACUGAAGAAGCCCAGAUUCAAAGACCCCCCCCCCCAGCCCUCUCUGAGCCCAGGGUAAUGCUCCAGGCAGCGGGUAAGUCCAUAACCUUCCUUGUGGACACGGGGGCUACCUAUUCUGUCUUGUCUGCCCAUUCUAGGCCUCUGUCUUCUUCCUAGGUCUCAGUUAUGGGGAUUGAUAACAAACCCUUCUCCCCAAACAGAACUGUAAAGCUGGCCUGUGCCCUGGAGGGACACCCAUUCACUCACUAUUCUGAUCAUUCCAUCCUGUCAGUUCCUCUCCUAGGCAGAGAUGUUCUCCAAUUAUUAGGAGCUACCCUCCAGUUAUACCCCAAGAAUACUACCACCCAUCUCCUUUGUCCUUUAACUCUUACCCUCUCUAAUGACCUGACAAUACCUACUGUGCCAUUGCCCCCUGAUCCCUAGGUCUGAGACAUUUCCAUGCUGGCUAUUGCCUCCCACCACAAGCCAGUCCAUACCCAGCUGAAACACCAAAUUAAACUUCCUUGUGUUCCCAAUUUCCUAUCUCCAAAACCCAUAGGGAGGGAUUUAAGCCCAUUAUACACUGGUUGCUGGCCCAGGGACUCCCAAUCCUUACUGACUCCCCCUGUAAUACUCCUAUAUUUCUGGUGCGCAAACCCUCCAGAGCCUAUCGCUUAGUCCAGGAACUCCGCCUAAUUAAUGAGGGAGUUAUUCCCAUCCACUCGGUUUCCAACCUUCAUACUUUUCUUUCUCAUAUCCCCCUUUGACCAUUCACUUCACUGUCCUGGAUCUUAAAGCUGAUUUCUUUACAGUGCCUCUGCAUCCUGACUCUUAUUACCUCUUUGCCUUCACAUGGGAAGACCUUACAUUCUUUAGGUUUCAACAGCUGACAUGGACAGGCCUACUCCAAGGCUUCAGGGACAGUCCCUACCACUUUGGUCAGGCCUUGACACAGGAUUUAACUGUUUGUAAUUUGGGGAUAGCACUCUCUUACAGUUGGAUAGAAGCCUUCCCUACCUCCAGGAAAACUGCUGACACCAUUGGAAACUGCUGACACUGUCACCUCCAUCCUCGUUGAGCAGAUCAUUCCUAGGUUCGAACUUCCUGCCUCCAUCCAGUCAGACAACAGUCCAGCCUUCAUUUCUCAGAUUGUUUAACUAGUUUCCAAAGGCCUUAACAGCAGUUGGAGGCCCCACAUCCCCCACUGACCCCAAUCCUCGGGUAAGGUUGAGAGGCCUAAUGGCAUUCUCAAGGAUCAUCUCACUAAACUUGCUAUUGAACGCAGACUGUCCUGGCCCAAUCUUUUGCCAUUGGCCCUCACCCAAAUUCGGGCAACUCCUAGAGCCCCCUCAGGCCUUAGCCCCUUUGAGCUGUUCUAUGGAUGCCUUUCUUAACCAACUAAAACUUUCCUGUCACUCCUCCCCCCCUUGUGUCCCACCUGCCCUAUCUCAUGCUUCUAUACAAACUCCUAAGAGAACACGCACACUGGUGUCUUCCUGCACCAUCUGUUACUUCUGUUCCAGCACAAUCAGGAAUUAAAUAGGACCCUCUUCAACCAGGUGAUGCAGUUUUACUUCGAGAGCUACAUUCUCAGUCGUUGAAACCUCACUGGACAGGACCCCAUACAGUCAUAUUUCUGCCAUGCCGGGGCCCACCAAACUCAAAGUUUCUCUCCAACCCUCUCCUAUUACUAAUCAUUAAUCUCUCUCAAGCUUCUAUCCCAACCCACAGAUGGCGCUUCUACAUCCAAGCGACAUGGCAACAGGAUGGCACCAUCCGCUCUCAGUCUAUGGGCCAAGGCGAUUGGCCUUUCACUGGCUGUAAUCGAGCCCUUAAUGUUACUGGAUUCAACUGGGCCACCUCCUCCCACUUAUGUUCAGCAAUGCUAUGCUUCAUAGCAGAUCAAACUGAGGAAUCCUGUUGAAGCCAUAUCACCAGGAGGCUGCCCCACCUGCUGAUGACAAGACUACCCCAGAGGAGCCUUAAGAGUCACCUCCUAGACCUCCCCUUUACUCCUACUCUCCACUUCCUAACUAUCCUCUAAAGCUUCACCUGUCUCGUGUAACCGCCCAUACUCCACCAUGACUCCCACUCUUUUAAGUGGUAUUUUUAUAGUCAUCACCCUUCUCCAGGGGACAUCAUCAUCCUCCUCUUAUACUUGGAGAUUCAAAGUCAGAGAGACAUAUGUCCAAGGCAACACUCGUUACACUCACCUAGUUUCUUCGGUUGAUUGCGCCCCUACGGGAUGUAAUGCAUCUAUCUUCCUUUCCCUCUCCUCCCAGAAUUCUGAACUUUUAAAAAAAGCAGCUAGGCCUUACCUUUGCUUCUUAUAUGAUCAGACAGAGGAUUACUGCAAAUAGUGGCCCGAAACUUAUGGAGGAUGCCCCUACUGGUCAUGUAACGUUCAUAACCCACGUGCAUGCAUCAGGGAUUCCUGUGUUGGAAAUUUCAGAUUGAUCUCAGGGGGCUAUCAAUUGGCUAUCACUGAACCUAACCAUCCAUGCUGGACUUCUAGGGUAAAUGCUGCCUUCUACUGUGACAUAUCCUCUCCCACCCCCUGUGGCUCCAUCUCCAUCUCCCGAGAGCUUCAACCCUCCCAGCCCUCAGUAGCUAAUCUCUAAUGACAUAAAGCAUUCCGAAUAGCAGUUGUUAGAAUCCAUACAGGAUCCAUAUGAGCCUAAUGUCAGGAGUCCACUACAGUAUUCAUGGCUAUGACUACUCACUGAAACUGUAACCUUCUUAAAUCUAACCCUCCCUGCCAUCACACCAACUGAUUGAUACUUAUGCGCCUCUCUGACUCAACCUUUGCUUGGUUCCCUUGAAUUUCUCGGCUUCUGACCUCUCAAAUUUCUCCACUCCAUCUGCCCGCCAUUCUCUCCAAACCCUUUCACCCGACGCUCCAUUAUGGGAGCCUGAGGAGUCUAAUCAUACUGUGAUUCCCUGGCGCUGCCUCCUGGGCUUGGGUAUCUCCCAGUCAAAGUUUUGCCACUCUAACAUCACCUUUAACUCCACCCUCUAUGCACCACCUGGCUCAUUCUUCUGGUGUAAUGGUUCUCUUUCACUAUCUUAUUCACCAACACAUCUACCCCAUGUAUACUGGUGACGCUUGUCCUGCAAUUGACUCUCUAUACCCCAGCUGAAGUGUAGGCCCUCUUGUCUCCCCCAGUGCAGAAUAAGCGGGCUGCUUUCCUUCCAAUACUGGUGGGGGUCUCUCACUGGCUGUAUCUGCAGUGGGAGCCGGAAUUUCUGGUGGAGCUCUAGGACACUCCUUAUGGGCUGUACAGGACUUAAGUUCUAAACUUGAACAAGCGCUCACUUCUAUGGCAGAAUCUCUAGCAUCUUUACAAAGGCAGGUCACAUCCUUGGCUCAAGUUACUCUUCAAAAUUGACGAGCUAUAGACUUAGUCACAGCUGAAAAAGGUGGAACCUGUCUUUUCUUGGGGGAAGAAUGCUGUUACUACAUCAACGAAUCAGGCCUUGUGGAAACUAAUGUAGUCAAGCUCACCGACUUGGCUACCUCUGAAAAAUCCACCAAACCAAAACCCAUUUGCCACCUUCUUUUUAGUUCCAAUCGUGGCUGUUGCCUCUUUUAGGGCCCAUAUGCCUUCUUUUCCUGAUGUGUCUGUUCCUGCCCUGUCUGCUUUGCUUCCUACAGGGCCAAUUAUGGAAGAUCUCUAACCAAAUUUUCAACCAGCCUCUGCUUAGGUACUACCAGCCUCUGAUGACCGAUGAGCCCCCAACAUCUUCAAGAGAACAGCUCACUCAUUGCUGAAGCUCACUACCAGGCACAAUGGAAUGCAAUGGACAUCGGACAGCGGGAGACCACGAGCCCAGAGAACCUCUUAAUCUGCCAUCCUGGAUUAUUGAGCCUUUAUGUCCUUUUAAGCCUCCUCAUGGCCCUUGGCCUCUUCUCUGUCAGUCCCCCGACAUGGAACUUCUGCCAAAAACUGACAUUUGCUUUAAUUUUUGUCUUCAUGCUGUUUUUGUUCGCUCUGAUGUUCUUCAGGUGCUGGUGAUGCCAUGACAAGGCAAUGCUUCCAAUAUUUCCUAGAGUCUCUGUUACAGGACCAGUGGCUGAUACCAACAAUCUCCUCCAUCCAGGACUGGUUUGAUGCCAUCGACGACUUGUGGUUUCAGGGAACUUUCAUAGACUUCACCCCUACGGAAGUAGCUGUCUAUAGCCACUGGGUUUUAUUUCUGGUUGCCAUGAUAUCCCCAGACCUGCCACCCCCCCCCCACCCCAACAUUCCUCCACUUCUCCUUCUAGGCACUACGCCGCCCCCGCACAGCUAGAAGCAGCCAGAUCUGACCAACGACGCCCCAGUUCCUAAGAAAACAAAAAGGGAGGAAUGUUGGGUAAACAUAUAACGGCAGCAGCACCCCAGAGAAAAACCCCAGCAUGGCGUCUAACGACCCUGUUUCUCCUCUUUGUUUCUUUCACUGGCGCGAAACGUUCCCGCCGGUGCCAAUGUUCAAACCCUGCUGGUGGGAAGCCUUAGCCCCAAUUAGAAUUAACUUCUUGGGCUCCGGAACUGACAUAUGGAAGUGCUUGCCAAUAAACGGGUGACCUGUUAUCUACCUCAGCCCCUGCUACCUCUCUUAGACCUAUAUAAACACACAGCCUUUUGUAAUAAAGUGGAAACCUCUUUGGUAA